CUAUCACAUAACACAUGGUAUUGAUUAACUGCAUAGAAUAUAAUAACCCCUUCCACCGAGCUCUGCUUCGGGAAUUAACUCUGUUAUCCAACAAGCCGAUUUGCAGAAGGAUCUCGUCUGUGGAAGUCAUCCUUUCAAUAACUUUUGAACGAGUAAUACGCAAAGAUGUACAAGACUAAACGAAAGCGAAAGCGGUUCUAAUAGCCCAGAAGUUUGCAAAGGAGUAAAAUUGACCGAUAUCUAAAUUUUAAUUACGUCUGAAGAAGAUACAUGGAUUUCAACUACGCUCAACGUAAUCAUUAAACAGUCGACAUCCGAAAUGAAACACGCUUCCAUUGGUACUUCCUGUUCUUCCUUAAAUCCUAUGAUUCGUUCUACUUGGAUAGUAGAAAUGUCCGACCGUCAGCAAGAGUAGGAAAUGAAAACGUUUACCUCUUCAGUUUUAGAUUUAAAUGAUUUUAUCAUGGCGACUAGAAUAUUUCUAUUGAUGAACGGGAUAUUAGGUCUCUUAACUCUAGCUAUCCUAAAGAUCAUAAAAACGGCGGAGGAAGGUGAUGCUGCUCAUGAAUUUAUUACAAAUCUUAGUGAUAUGAAUACCAAGUUGGUGAGAGAGACACCUAAUUAUCCAGUUCAUGGAAACAACGUGUUGCUAUUCCUAGAGCAUUAAUAUAGCAACAAUCAACUUCAAUAUUUAAUUUUAUUAAACGAGCGUAUUAGAUCCUGGAAGCAGAAGAGUGCUUCAAGAAACAGUUGAAAAUUCUAAUCAAGGAAGGAACAUUGUUAGCUAUUGUUCAUGCAUGCAUUAUUUGAUUGGGAAUACCUAGGAAGAGGAAAAAGAAGAAAAAACAUUUUUGCUUGACGAUGAAGUUUCGAAAGACCAAUAUGGCGCUGUUUUAUAAAGUUUGGAAUGGUGGUACGAGGAAAUGGGAGGGACUUAUCGUUUUUAAAGGAUCCAAACGUGAACGGCUUGGAGGGUAUGAGGGAUUGAACUCAGAAUGAUUUAUUGAAGGGUCGUCCAACGUUCCACGAAGGGUCAAUUAAAAUUUCCUCUUACUUGCCCGAAGGGCUGAAAAGGCCGAAAAGGACAUGGUUUGGGACGGAAACGAAUUUCUCCAACAAUCCCUUCUAAUUGGACAUAACAUCAUUCGUUUGAAUAGUGAUAUAAUUAGACGGAAUAAACCGUUUUCAAUGGACCCAUAGAUAGGGAGCUUUAGCUAGAGGGUAAAAUCGAUUUUAAUCAAAGAGACCGUUGAAGGGUUGUCCAUUGAUGUAGCAUGUGAAACAUGAAUCAAAGUGAAAUUGAGAUGGAACUGAGAACAUGAUUAAACCUACGAGAACGAUAUACAAAUUCACCGCUUUCAAGAUAAUAACGCUAGUUAUACGAGAAGUGUUAAUUCCAUGUUUACGUCAUAGUGUUAUCAUUAUUUCAUCAAUUUAGAUUGAGUAAUUAUUCUAUCUAAUUAUAAAUAGAAGAAAUUUUGGGUUCAAUGUUUCAAAUUAUUCAUCAUAAUAUUGACGAUAUCUACUAAAAAAAUAUUUAUAACAUUUAAUGUACGUUUUUUAGUAAUAUCGGAAUUUGUACGAAUUAUUUUGCUGUGUAAAUCGAUUUCUCUUGUUAAUAUGAUUUGAUUGGGUUUUAUUGAAAAUGCAUGUAUGUAUUACGUUCUUCCAUACGCAUCGUCAAGUACCCUCAGAUUAAACGAAUUAUUAUUACCUCUCUUCAUGAACGUGUGUCUCGUGUGUGCUCAGGGGCGCUAGCAUGUGGAUGGGAAUAUGUAUGUCGUUCUACGUACGUGAAAACGGACACAUGUUAUUUCACUUUGAAAAUAUGAAUGGAAUGUUUUCAUUUAUCUUCCCCUCAUCAAAGCGAGCAGACAAUUGGAUAAUAUGAUUAGCUGCAUAACUCAAUUACCUAUUUAACUGUAUCAUUUAAUUAGCUGGUUAGGUCUUUUGCAAAGUAAUACAUCACGUUAUUGAUUCAAUGUUUUCAUAGGAACAAGUAGAUUUUCCUAAAAAUUUAUUUCCGAUCGAAAAAUUUAAAGGAACUUAAAGAUCCAAUUAUAUUAUAUUGCGUAUAUAAUAUUGCGUAUAUUAUGGUCUAAACUGGUUAGUUCCUAUGAAAAUAUUAUAUUUCUGCAAUCGUUUAUUUUUUAUUACCUAUAACCGAGUAUAGCAGUGAUUUUAUUAUAUUUCUAGUAAAAUAAUAUUUGUAUUUUUCGGAUGCAUUAUCCGAAUGAUUUAAUUUCUCAAGAAGUAUAUGAUAUAACACUUAUAUAAUAUAUCGCCUAACAUAGUAGAAAUCUAUCAUAUUUUUUUUUUAUUUAUCGUUAUUCGAAUAACCGAUCGAUAUGGCUUAUAGCAUAAGUUAAAAAUGUAAAUGUAAUGUUAAAUUGUAGGAAGAUAGCCUUUCCAUGAAAUAAUCUUUCCUUAUGAAUAGAAUCUUUUGAAUUCUACUUUCUAAGUAAUAUCGUUCUCUCUACGAAAAAUAAAUAAAUAUGAAUAAUUAAAUACGAAAAAAUGUUCACUCUCCCAAAAGGAGAUGAAGAAAAUUAGAUUUUUACAAAGUAUAAUGACCGAAAAGAUAUGAUUAUGUAGAAUGGUCGAUAGGAGGAAUUAAAAGCACAGAAAAAAUCAAACAGAGAACAAGGAUUAGAAUAAAAAAAAAAUUUACCAUUUACGGUAGUUUCGAUUCAAAAUAAUUGGUAGCAUUGUGAUGAGAUUACCGUGAAUGACAUAAUAUCUCGUUAAUGUAGAAAAAUAGUACAGUAGGGAUAAUAUAAUAGACAGUAGUAAGUAGGGAUAGAAAUAAAUGGUAGAAAAACUUCGAUUUGAUACUUGAAUUUAUUGUAUUCUUUGAAAAACAUUACAAGAUGUUGAUCCAGAAUCUGGUAGUCUUCCAUGCAAGUUCUUCGAAAAACCAGAAAAGUGAAAAUCCAAAAUUAUAUAUGAUAUCUACCCUAAUCGAUCGCAUUAAUGAAAUAUAUCUCACAUAUAUCGUCUUAAACAAGAUGCUUUCGAUAAGAUAAAUCAUAUUUGCAUUUUUUUUUUGUGUUCAUCUAUUGAUCUAAUAUAAAUUAAAUACCACUGGUUCCAUAGUGAAAUUAUAUAAUAUGUUAUACUAUAUUCUAUUUUGGAUAUCUUGCGCUACGAAUUGUCGUCGUGUUGUUGCUAACUAAUGCCGAACGCAAAGGGUAAAUACGGAAGAAUAUCAAAAUAUAAAUCAUUUGGUGCUUUUCACUUUUCUACGGAAAGAACGAAGAAUUUGUAUCAUUUUUCUUAGUAAUUCGAUAAACUGAAUAUUAUUAUUAUUAUAGUAACCUUUAUAACACUUCAACUUGAUGUCGUAAUAGAAAUAAUGUAUAAUCGAUAGAUGAAUUAUUUUCAUGAUCGUAAUAUUUAAUGGAUUGUAUAUUCGCUUAAACUUUACGAAAAACGUAACGCUCGAGAAACAUAAGAUAAUUUUAAAUGAACAUUUCAAUAAUUUAUAAUUUAAAUCUUGGGGUAUUUGCAUCUGAAUUGUGUCACUGCGUCUAAUGUCAAGAAAACGAGAGCUUUUGAAUAACUGAUGGUUGUUCUCUCUUUCUAAAGGUGCAAACUUCAAACUUAAUUCUUUUGAUAAUUUUAGAUUCAUUUAAACGAUAUAGAUGUAGAAAGAGUUAAAUAAAUUACUGUUUAAACAAUAAUAAAUUCCGUCAAACAUUGCAUGCCACGGAACACCGACGGGAUAUCAGAUAAUUUUCAUUUAUUUUCUAUUAGACUUGAAUAUUGUAUAAAUGGUCGUCGUUACCAACAUGUAAAGUUAAUACAUGAUUGGUUUCGACGGUUACACAAUCAGUUCUUUGUACUUCGAUGAGUAAACAUCGAAGUUUUCUCGCUGCCUCCUGCAAACAAUGAAGAAAAUUUCAUUCACGUACGUGCAAAUAAGAAAGAAUAUUAUGUAAGUUUUUCUCUAAGAUAUUUGUAAAAAAAUGUAGUGAACUAGUGAAAAUAGUUGUAUCUCUUUCUGAAUAAACGUAAUUAAACAAA